rnacentral:rRNA from 1 species
AUUGAACGCUGGCGGCAUGCCUUACACAUGCAAGUCGAACGGCAGCAUGGAGAGCUUGCUCUCUGAUGGCGAGUGGCGAACGGGUGAGUAAUGCAUCGGAACGUACCGUGUAAUGGGGGAUAACGUAGCGAAAGUUACGCUAAUACCGCAUACGACCUGAGGGUGAAAGCAGGGGAUCGCAAGACCUUGCGUUAUACGAGCGGCCGAUGUCAGAUUAGCUAGUUGGUGAGGUAAAGGCUCACCAAGGCGACGAUCUGUAGCGGGUCUGAGAGGGUGAUCCGCGACACUGGGACUGAGACACGGCCCAGACUCCUACGGGAGGCAGCAGUGGGGAAUUUUGGACAAUGGGGGCAACCCUGAUCCAGCCAUGCCGCGUGAGUGAAGAAGGCCUUCGGGUUGUAAAGCUCUUUCGGCCGGGAAGAAAUCGCACAGGCUAGUACUCUGUGUGGAUGACGGUACCGGCAUAAGAAGCACCGGCUAACUACGUGCCAGCCGCCGCCGUAA